rnacentral:rRNA from 1 species
GACGAACGCUGGCGGCGUGCUUAACACAUGCAAGUCGAACGGAAAGGCCCUGCUUUUGUGGGGUGCUCGAGUGGCGAACGGGUGAGUAACACGUGAGUAACCUGCCCUUGACUUUGGGGUAACUUCAGGAAACUGGGGCUAAUACCGGAUAGGAGCUCCUGCUGCAUGGUGGGGGUUGGGAAGUUUCGGCGGUUGGGGAUGGACUCGCGGCUUAUCAGCUUGUUGGUGGGGUAGUGGCUUACCAAGGCUUUGACGGGUAGCCGGCCUGAGAGGGUGACCGGCCACAUUGGGACUGAGAUACGGCCCAGACUCCUACGGGAGGCAGCAGUGGGGAAUAUUGCACAAUGGGCGGAAGCCUGAUGCAGCAACGCCGCGUGCGGGAUGACGGCCUUCGGGUUGUAAACCGCUUUCGCCUGUGACGAAGCGUGAGUGACGGUAAUGGGUAAAGAAGCACCGGCUAACUACGUG